rnacentral:tRNA from 1 species
AAAAAGGUAAGCUAAUAAAGCUAUUGGGUUCAUACCCCAAUUAUGGAGAACAAUUCUCCCCUCUUUA